rnacentral:rRNA from 1 species
GAACAUAAGAGUUUGAUCCUGGCUCAGAUUGAACGCUGGCGGCAUGCUUUACACAUGCAAGUCGGACGGCAGCACGAGUACUUGUACUUGGUGGCGAGUGGCGAACGGGUGAGUAAUAUAUUGGAACUGUCUCUUAUACACAUCU